ensembl:misc_RNA Y_RNA Y RNA
AGUUGGUCUGAGGGUGUUGGGUUGUUGUUAAGCUGAGUAACAUUGUCUCCUUCCACAACCAUGCUUGACUAGUUUUUU